rnacentral:rRNA from 1 species
AUUGAACGCUGGCGGCAUGCCUUACACAUGCAAGUCGAACGGCAGCACGGGUGCUUGCCCCUGGUGGCGAGUGGCGAACGGGUGAGUAAUACAUCGGAACAUGUCCUGUAGUGGGGGAUAGCCCGGCGAAAGCCGGAUUAAUACCGCAUACGAUCUACGGAUGAAAGCGGGGGACCUUCGGGCCUCGCGCUAUAGGGUUGGCCGAUGGCUGAUUAGCUAGUUGGUGGGGUAAAGGCCUACCAAGGCGACGAUCAGUAGCUGGUCUGAGAGGACGACCAGCCACACUGGGACUGAGACACGGCCCAGACUCCUACGGGAGGCAGCAGUGGGGAAUUUUGGACAAUGGGCGAAAGCCUGAUCCGGCAAUGCCGCGUGUGUGAAGAAGGCCUUCGGGUUGUAAAGCACUUUUGUCCGGAAAGAAAUCCUUGGCUCUAAUACAGUCGGGGGAUGACGGUACCGGAAGAAUAAGCACCGGCUAACUACGUG